AGGAGACGACUGGGUUGAUAGGCCAGAUCUGGACGCACCGUAACGUGCGAAGGUGACUGGUACUAAUACACCAAACAACAAACAACCAAAUC
rnacentral:rRNA from 1 species